UUGUUUAACACGUGACUGAAAAUUGUUGUGCACUAUAUGUAGGCCUACAGCGCAGUCGAAAACAUUACCGUUUAAACUGCUGGGUUGUAUGGUCAGUUCUGGAGGACCGACACACCACAACACAGACUUUAUCUGUCAACCAUGAGGGUCAUCAACAUCGGUCCAGAUCCAUCUCUGGCCUAUCGACCAAACCUGGAGGAGAAUGGAGCCAAAGAGAAGGAAGACUACAGAAACUUCAAGAGUGGAAGUCUAAUUGGCCGCGUGUUCAACACUUACAAGCUGAUGCACACCAGGCAGACGCUGGACUUCGUAAAGCAAAAGCACUCUCAAUGGACCGGCUGCAACCACACUCAGAUCGGGAUGAUGGACGCCGUCAUGUCUCUAGACCAGCUGGUGGACGAGUCCGAUCCUGACGUGGACUUCCCCAACUCCUUCCACGCCUUCCAGACUGCCGAGGGCAUCCGCCAAGCACACCCAGACAAAGACUGGUUCCAGUUGGUGGGUCUGAUCCAUGAUGUUGGGAAGACCAUGGCUCUUUGGGAUGAGCCGCAGUGGGCUGUAGUAGGCGACACCUUCCCAGUGGGCUGCAAGUUUCAAAACUCCAUUGUGUUUAGAGAAAAUACCUUCCAGGAUAACCCAGACGACAAAAAUCCCAGCUACAAUACUGAAUAUGGGAUCUAUGAACCAAACUGUGGGCUCGACAGUGUCCUCGUGUCUUGGGGCCAUGAUGAGUAUCUCUACAGAGUUAUGAAGUUCAACAACUGCCCCAUCCCAGAGGAGUGCUUACAGGCUCAGUUAUGGGUCUACUUUUUGUCCGUCUUCAGGGGUUGUACAUGAUUCGCUUCCAUUCAUUCUACCCCUGGCAUUCCCAUGGAGACUACAUGCACCUGUGCAAUGACAAAGACCUGCGCAUGCUGCCCUGGGUCCAAGAGUUCAACAAAUUUGACCUGUACACAAAGACCACUGAUCUGCCCGACGUAGACAAGCUGAAGCCGUACUACCAGUCUCUGAUCGACAAGUACUGCCCUGGAAUACUGAAGUGGUGAAACAGAUGGCACAGAACUCAACAGCAACACUGUGUUGCCAGAAAUCAACUGAUACAGAGGAGGAUUACAUUAACUACUUCAAAUAUAACCUGAGUAACAGUAUCUCUUAUGUAUACUGAAUUCAAGUCUCUCUCUCUCUCUCUCUCUCUCAUAAUGUACAGAAAAGCAUUUAUAUUCUUUUGUAUUUUAAUGUCAUAAGAAAACAUUUUAAAAGCACUA